GCAGCUUCCUACCAAGCUUACUCUGAGCACCCCCAGAUGCCUAUUUGGAAACACCUUUGACCAACUCCUCAGUUUGCCCCUGAGACUGUUUGGGGACAAAGGAAAAAUGAUAGGAAAUGGGACGAUUGGUGAAGCCCUGAAGUGUUUUUUCACACCUAACGCCUGUUAGUUGUAAACUUGUAUAAAGUAUGCGUAAACCAAAUGAAGAAAACUGAAAUUGACUAUGAUUCUAUCAUUUGGAGCUUACCACUGUUAACAUAUUGGUUGUUUUCAGGUGAGGGUAUAGAAUAGUGGUUGAGAGCCAGGCAGCCUGGGUCGGAAUCCCGUCUACCAUUUACUGACUGUGUGAACCAGGACAAGCUACUUAACCACUCACGAUUCAGUCUUCUCUUCUGUGAAAUGGUACAGGUUUUUAAAGGGAAUCAUUUUGGAAAUCAUUUGUGGUGUUUUGGUUGAAGCAGCCGCCCAGGCAAACGAGCAGCGAGCGACGUCACUUGCAUAAUCUCCCUGCAAAGACCCGAGGUUCGGGCCAAAGCAGGGCGGAGAACUUGCCCGCUGCAGGCUGGGAUCUGGAGUCCUUCCUCUCCGAACUGCAAAGUGCUCUGGGAUUGCCCGGCCGCUCCCAUAUCUCGCGAUGCUAUCCUCGCUUCUUCUUGGCCCUAUGACCAACCCCCCUAACGUGUUUUUCAAAUCCGCCAAUGGGCACACGGCGUAGAC